UCGAGGGGUAUAGUUCUUCGGAACUAGAGACCGGCGCACGGGUGCGUAACGCGUAUGCAAUCACCUUUUACAGAGGGAUAGCCCAGAGAAAUUUGGAUUAAUACCUCAUAGUAUGUGAGAAUCGCAUGGUUUUCACAUUAAAGUUCCAACGGUAAAAGAUGAGCAUGCGUCCCAUUAGCUAGAUGGUAAGGUAACGGCUUACCAUGGCGACGAUGGGUAGGGGUCCUGAGAGGGAGAUCCCCCACACUGGUACUGAGACACGGACCAGACUCC
rnacentral:rRNA from 2 species